UUUAAAAAUUUUUGUUCGUCUUUCCGUCUCACGUCGCCGCUACGAGAGGAGCCACCGCCAUGUCUCCGCAUCUGCAAUGGAAGGUCGUGCGGAACUGUUUCAGUUUCCUCAUCAAGAGGAACAAGCCAACCUACAGCGCAGAGCCCGAUAACUUGAAGGCCCGCAACUACUUCCGCUACAGCAGGCUGAUUCACCACAAGAUUGUGGGCGUGGAGUCGGCAGCAGACGGCAAAGGUGUCGUGGUGGUCAUGAAGCGGACAUCCGGCCAGUCACCUCCUAUUUCCGUACCAACAACAACAACAAGAAUGUUCACGCCACGCUCAGCGGCACCAGACACAUGAUCCGCAAGAACAAGUACCGCCCCGACCUGCGCAUGGCAGCCAUCCGCAGGGCCAGCGCCAUCCUGUGCAGCCAGAAGCCUGUGAUGGUGAAGAGGAAGCAGACCCGCCCCACCAAGAGUUCCUAAGCCCCCUGCUCCCAGAGCAAUAAAGCGUCAGCUGGCUUUCU